rnacentral:snoRNA from 1 species
UUUGGCUAUGAUGAUAACAUAUUAUCCCAGCUCAUUAUGAGGCCUUUUUUGGCCAAGAUAAAUAACUGUUUUCUAUAAUAAAUCUGAGCCAUAAA